rnacentral:rRNA from 1 species
GACGAACACUGGCGGCGUGCUUAACACAUGCAAGUCGAACGAAGUGGCGAACGGGUGAGUAACGCGUAAUCAACCUGCCCUUCAGAGGGGGACAACAGUUGGAAACGACUGCUAAUACCGCAUACUGAAGGAGGGGAUUGCGUCUGAUUCGCUAGUUGGAGGGGUAACGGCCCACCAAGGCGAUGAUCAGUAGCCUGUCUGAGAGGAUGUACGGCCACAUUGGGACUGGUGCCCGGCCCAGACGCCUAAGGGAGGCAGGAGUGGGGGAUCUUCCGAAAAGGACGAAAGUCUGACGGAGCAACGCCGCGUGAGUGAUGACGGCCUUCGGGUUGUAAAGCUCUGUUAAUCGGGACGCGGUACCGGAAUAGAAAGCCACGGCUAACUACGUGCCAGCAGCCGCGGUAAUUC